rnacentral:rRNA from 1 species
GGCUCAGAACGAACGCUGGCGGCAUGCCUAACACAUGCAAGUCGAACGAGAUCUUCGGAUCUAGUGGCGCACGGGUGCGUAACGCGUGGGAAUCUGCCUUGGGGUUCGGAAUAACUCCCCGAAAGGGGUGCUAAUACCGGAUGAUGUCGAAAGACCAAAGAUUUAUCGCCCUGAGAUGAGCCCGCGUAGGAUUAGCUAGUUGGUGUGGUAAAGGCGCACCAAGGCGACGAUCCUUAGCUGGUCUGAGAGGAUGAUCAGCCACACUGGGACUGAGACACGGCCCAGACUCCUACGGGAGGCAGCAGUGGGGAAUAUUGGACAAUGGGCGAAAGCCUGAUCCAGCAAUGCCGCGUGAGUGAUGAAGGCCUUAGGGUUGUAAAGCUCUUUUACCCGGGAAGAUAAUGACUGUACCGGGAGAAUAAGCCCCGGCUAACUCCGUGCCAGCAGCCGCGGUAAUACGGAGGGGGCUAGCGUUGUUCGGAAUUACUGGGCGUAAAGCGCACGUAGGCGGCUUUGUAAGUCAGAGGUGAAAGCCUGGAGCUCAACUCCAGAACUGCCUUUGAGACUGCAUCGCUUGAAUCCAGGAGAGGUGAGUGGAAUUCCGAGUGUAGAGGUGAAAUUCGUAGAUAUUCGGAAGAACACCAGUGGCGAAGGCGGCUCACUGGACUGGUAUGACGCUGAGGGGCGA